ACCCUAGAACAACUGCUUGAGAAAAGACAACACAAAUGAAUGGUGUCAAACAGUCUCUGUUGUUCUAUGUUCUAAUUGUAGUUAACUGAGCUCUGGACAGAAAAAAAGUAGUAAAUAUUAAGUAAAAACAUUGGAAAAUGUUUAAUAUUAACCAAAGUAGUAUGUUACAAGCAGCCAAGUUACACUACAAGAUACCUGGACACCUGGACACAAACACUUUCCUAAAGCUGAUCUGCUACAGAGAAAAUUACUGUUACUAUAUGAAUCUGAAGCAGCUGCAAUGGGAAGAAAAAUGUUGAAAACGCAGCAUGCAAAACUCAUCAAGUAUGGUCGGGUUCAUCCAUAUGAAAGGCCAUUAGCAAACAUGUGGCAACUUUCCUUCAUCUAAGAGGAAGCCUUGGGAGGUCCAAGACAUGGCAGGGCAGGACAGAAGAUCAGUCAUCAUGGUCAAAAUGUUCUGCUGCUUUGUAAAAAAGAUAGAAUUUGCCCCAGGUGCACAACUGCAUUUCCUAAGCUUUUAUGACGCCACUGAGUGUAUUUCCCUAAUCAUAUUUAAAAAUCAUGCCCGUGUGUUCUCUGUUCAGGAGGUUAGAGCUGAAUUUUCUUUCAAUGAACAAGAAUUUCAGUGGAUGUUUCUCAAAACCAUUUCAAAAGAUGUCAACCUAUAUGUAUAACUAAACCAGAAAGUUAAAAAAAAUAUAUGAAAAUUUCACUCUAGCUUUUGCAUCUAUGCCUGAUUUCGAUUUCUUCUUUAUGUGUAAUUUUGUACGCAAAUUUUCUGCUGGUGGUAUUUUACAGGAUCAUUAGAAAAGACUGAAGAACAGAACUAACGAUAUUGGAAUUGUUUCUUCUUUUCCCUCCUCACUCUCCAUUUUCUGUCUAAUUUCUACUUCUGUUACUUCUAGUAAAUCUGUGUCACUUUAACUUUGAUCAAAACUUAUACUGAUAUACCACUGAUAACAAAGAUCAUAUGAGUUAAAAGAUAUAUAUUAGUU
ensembl:lncRNA